rnacentral:rRNA from 2 species
UUUAUGGAGAGUUUGAUCCUGGCUCAGAGUGAACGCUGGCGGCGUGCCUAAUACAUGCAAGUCGAACGAUGAAGCUU